GGUUACCUUGUUACGACUUAGCCCUAGUUACCGAUUUUGCCCUAGGCCGCUCCUUGCGGUGACGGACUUCAGGCACUCCCGGCUUCCAUGGCUUGACGGGCGGUGUGUACAAGGCCCGGGAACGUAUUCACCGGAUCAUGGCUGAUAUCCGAUUACUAGCGAUUCCAGCUUCACGGGGUCGAGUUGCAGACCCCGAUCCGAACUGUGACCGGUUUUGUAGAUCCGCGCCCCCUUGCGGGGUGGCUUCCCUCUGUACCGGCCAUUGUAGCACGUGUGUAGCCCAGGACGUAAGGGCCGUGAUGAUUUGACGUCGUCCCCACCUUCCUCACGGUUUGCACCGGCAGUCCCGUUAGAGUCCCCAUCUUGACAUGCUGGCAACUAACGGUAGGGGUUGCGCUCGUUAUAGGACUUAACCUGACACCUCACGGCACGAGCUGACGACAACCAUGCAGCACCUUGCAGGCGGUCCGAAGAAAGGGGUAUCUCUACCCCAUGCAGCCUGCAUUUAAGCCCUGGUAAGGUUCCUCGCGUACCAUCGAAUUAAACCACAUGCUCCACCGCUUGUGCGGGCCCCCGUCAAUUCCUUUGAGUUUCAUUCUUGCGAACGUACUCCCCAGGUGGGAUACUUAUCACUUUUCGCUUGGCCCACGGAGACCCGAAGUCCCCACAGCUAGUAUCCAUCGUUUACGGCGUGGACUACCGGGGUAUCUAAUCCCGUUCGCUACCCACGCUUUCGUCCAUCAGCGUCAGUACAUGGUUGGUCACCUGCCUUCGCGAUCGGUGUUCUAUGUGAUAUCUAUGCAUUUCACCGCUACACCACAUGUUCCGGCAACCCCACCAUGACUCAAGACCUGCAGUAUCAAAGGCAAUUUUAUGGUUGAGCCACAAACUUUCACCCCUGACUUACAGGCCCGCCUACGGACCCUUUAAACCCAAUGAUUCCGGAUAACGCUCGGACCCUCCGUAUUACCGCGGCUGCUGGCACGGAGUUAGCCGGUCCUUAUUCUUACGGUACCGUCAAACGCCCACACGUGGGCGCGUUUCUUCCCGUAUAAAAGCAGUUUACAACCCAUAGGGCCGUCAUCCUGCACGCGGCAUGGCUGGAUCAGGCUCCCGCCCAUUGUCCAAUAUUCCUCACUGCUGCCUCCCGUAGGAGUCUGGGCCGUGUCUCAGUCCCAGUGUGGCUGAUCAUCCUCUCAAACCAGCUAUGGAUCGCUGACUUGGUGAGCCGUUACCUCACCAACUAUCUAAUCCAACGCGGGUCCAUCUCUUAGCGAUAAAUCUUUCCCCCGAAGGGCGUAUGCGGUAUUAGCGGUCGUUUCCAACCGUUAUCCCCCACUAAGAGGUAGGUCCCCACGCGUUACUCACCCGUGCGCCACUCUCCAGUUCCCGAAGGAACCUUCUCGUACGACUUGCAUGUGUUAGGCCUGCCGCCAGCGUUCGUUCUGAGCCAGGAUCAAACUCUA
rnacentral:rRNA from 1 species